AAGGAGUCACAAACCCCGCCAGGUCCGGAAGGAAGCAACGGUAGUGAGCCUCCGGGUGUGCCGCAGGGUAGCCUGGCUAU
rfam:Desulfobulbaceae bacterium A2 Ga0073110_1161, whole genome shotgun sequence.